rnacentral:rRNA from 1 species
UACAGAGGGUGCGAGCGUUAAUCGGAAUUACUGGGCGUAAAGCGUGCGUAGACGGCUAUCUAAGUCGGGUGUGAAAGCCCCGGGCUCAACCUGGGAAUUGCAUUCGAGACUGAAUAGCUAGGGUACGGUAGAGGGAAGUGGAAUUUCCGGUGUAGCGGUGAAAUGCGUAGAUAUCGGAAGGAACAUCAGUGGCGAAAGCGACUUCCUGGACCAGUACCGACGUUCAGGCACGAAAGCGUGGGAGCAACAGG